UGAUGCCUAGAUUCAGAAUUCAUAUGUCUAUCUAACUUGACAAAUUUGAGUUUUAGAAGAAAUGGUGCAAUUACUUCUCAUGGAAUGAGUGCCUUUGCUAAUUUAUUUGGCUUGAUCAAGUUGGACUUGGAGAGAUGCCCAGGGAUCCAUGGUGGACUUGUUCAUCUUCAAGGUUAUUGAGGAUAUGUCUCUAUUUUGCUUGUGGGGCUGUUCAAAAGCACAAGUCAUGGAUCAAUGAAUGAAGAAGAAGCUA